rnacentral:lncRNA from 1 species
AAUACAGUCAUGAGAGUGGAUAACGUUUAUAUUAGUUACUAAUAUAGGGAAAUACCAAAAAGUUAGAAUGAUUCAUAUGGUGCAACGAGUAAAGCUUCAUACAUAUGUGGUUAAAACCUCAAUGUAGCUAACUAUUUGAAAUGUGUUCAUGUAUGUAACUAGAAUCAGAUAUAUUUAUAUCAUCAAAAUAAACAUGCAAGCAUACAUCAGCUUCAAAUUGUGUUCUAUUGUUGAAGAAAUACGUUUAUGUUCCUUUUUCUAGUAA